CAAGGCAGAAAACGGGUCCUCUGUUAGGAAGAACAUGACACAGGCAAUGCCUUUUGAAACGUAUCCUCCAUCUUAGAACAGAGUCUCCCCAUGGUCUCUCCGACUCAGCCUGACCUAAACCCAGACAAUACUCCAUUAUCAUGCAAAGCAGAGAAGCUGGUAUCUGGAACUGGAAUCCUGAAAACAUCUGGUUUGGCAUGGAACAGUGACCACCUCAAAAAAUACAGUUCCAGGUCUGCAGAGCCCGCCCCAGGACUGAGCUGAAUUCUCUGAGAGGCUCUUGUUUCUGCACCCCCCGGGCACGCAACGCCCGACCCCAGCGGCCCCGGGCUGUGGAGGCCACCCUGGCACCUCGUGCUGGGCUUGGGGUCUUGGUUGCCCUGCCAAAGCCUACCACCAAGGACCGAGCGCCCCGGGCACGGUGGCUGCUCCUCUGAGGGAGGCACCCAACCUGGCAGCAGCACUGGGUAAGGGGCGGCAUCCUAGGCCAGCAACUGGGAGGGUCGUCCAGGACAAACGCUCACCAAGCUGCCUGCCGCC